rnacentral:misc_RNA from 1 species
UGAAGCGCGGCACCGCCGGCAACAACGUGAUGUAUUUCGAGACCGGCCAGGGCAGUGCGUUGUCAGCCGAUGCGAAUUUCGGCGUCGAUCAGCAGACCUGCGAGGCGCGCGCCUACGCGCUGGCGCGGCGCUACAAACCGCUGCUGGUCAAUACCGUGGUCGGAUUCAUCGGUCCUGAAGNNNNNNNUUUACGACGGCAAACAGAUCAUCCGCGCCGGGCUUGAGGAUCAUUUCUGCGGCAAAUUGCU